rnacentral:rRNA from 1 species
UACGGGGGGGGCAAGCGUUGUUCGGAAUUACUGGGCGUAAAGGGCUCGUAGGCGGCCAACUAAGUCGGAUGUGAAAUCCCCAAGCUUAACUGGGGAACUGCGUCCGAUACUGGAUGGCUUGGAUUUGGGAGAGGGAUGCGGAAUUCCAGGUGUAGCGGUGAAAUGCGUAGAUAUCUGGAGGAACACCGGUGGCGAAGGCGGCAUCCUGGACCAAUAUUGACGCUGAGGAGCGAAAGCCAGGGGAGCAAACGGG